rnacentral:rRNA from 1 species
GACGUAGGGCGCGAGCGUUGUCCGGAUUUAUUGGGCGUAAAGAGCUCGUAGGCGGCUUGUCGCGUCGACUGUGAAAACCCGCGGCUCAACUGUGGGCUUGCAGUCGAUACGGGCAGACUUGAGUUCGGUAGGGGAGACUGGAAUUCCUGGUGUAGCGGUGAAAUGCGCAGAUAUCGUAAGGAAGACCAGUGGCGAAGGCGGGUCUCUGGACAGUUCCUGACGCUGAGGCACGAAGGUCAGGGGAGCAAACGGG